UGCGGGCGCCCCGAGCUCGGUCCGGGGACGAGGGCGGAGACGCGGAGGGAGCCGAGGUCAGAGGGCGGGCCGCGCGGGGAGGUUGGCGGCCUUACCCUGGAGCUCCUCCUCCAGGACCGAGGACUCCGUCGGACUCCUGCCCAGCUUCAUUUCCGUGAGACACGCUCAGGGACUGGGUACUCCGCGGCGGGUCGUGCGCCACAUGGGGUCGAUGCGCCCGGGCCCACCCAGCAUCGCUUGAUGCCUCCGGGUUGGCUUUUCCCGAUCUCCAGUCAUCAACAUCGCUGAGACUCUAGAUCUAGCAUCACUUGGGUGAUGCGGCUUCUCUUCCCCAGGGGGACAGUUACCCCACGAAGAUUUCCCUGAAGUCCCUUUCCAUCAUUGACCCGAGGUUGCAGGGUCCUUCCUCAGGACACCCUCGGAUUAUUUUUAGUUUGAUGAGGACAGAUCGGGAGCCGGCUGCGCUCUGGGAACUAGGCGGGGGGCUGGGACUUUCUCGAACUUUGGCCUUCGUCCCUACAAGUACAUACAAACACCACGUGCACGCGGACGCACACCGCCGGCUCCCCGUGUACCCUGCUAUCAAACAGCAACAACAACAAAACCCAGAAAACAAACAAACAAAGGCAAUAGUCCUUUAGACAUUUCCUCCGCUCCCCGCGGGCCAGACCCCGGCUACUGCCCUCCACCUGCUCCUCAGCGAACGUGCUCCCUUGUUCCUGACGCUGCGGCCGGUGCAGCCCGCGCCGCCUUCAGUAUUACUAUUUCUGUUCCUGAGCUUCGCGGUGAAGACGUGUGGAGCCGCCUUCAGAGAAGGUUCCCCACCGCCUUGAGCAGCCGAGCGCCCUCCCGCGUCCACACAAACCCCAGCACCUGCCGGGCUGUUCAGUCCGAGAGCGCCCCCGUGUGGGUAACCCCCUACGAGGAGGCCUCGUGCCCUUGCCCCGCCCCGCCGGGCCGCGUGGCCACGCGUCACACAUCGAAUGUCGCCCCUCACGCCUUUGAAGACACAGGUUUAUUGAGGUAAUCUGAUCAUUCCUCCUUUUUGUUCCACUUCUGCUUGAAGAUUUGGCAGUGUAGCCCUGGAAGAUGUUCAGUUUUAGAAAAGCCAGUUGAAGAAUGAUGUGUAAAAAAAAAGAACUGAAAAACAUGACAAGGAUGGUAAAUUGGCUGGAAACAUGGUAAAGUGCUGAACAGUUGUCGAUUUUGAUGAAGCUAGAAAAGCGAUAGCUUUGAGAUGGUGCUAACAGUUUUCCAGAAAUUGAAGAACUGGCAGCAAGAAGCUAGAGUACCUUUUCUGUCUUUCCACAGAUCGAGACAAGAAACUCCGAUUGAGAACCACGAGAUUUGGAAGAGCAGAAUUCAUUUCAAUAUAAAGUUCUCUACACAUCUUUAAAUAUUUUUCUUUCAAGUUUUACUUUAUGAAACACCUCUGAGUCUCUAUUACACAAAGGAAGAUUCCCCUGUCGCAGCUAAGAUGCCGGGAGCCGGUGGGGCGAGAUGUAAGUCACCUUGAGGAGCAGUUACACCCGCAGCCCACCUUGGUCACUUGGUUGCCACAGACAUGCUUU
rnacentral:lncRNA from 12 species